rnacentral:lncRNA from 1 species
GCUUGGACUGGUAACCUUACAUGUAUAUAUAGACCUGUCUAAACUUUCAUUGUAUUAAUAAAAGUUUAGCUCGGACGAGUAACCUGACAUCUCUGUACAUAAUUAGUUCAGACGAGACUUUGAUGUGAAGCGUACAUGUGUUUUGAGUUCUUUUACGAUGUUCAUCAAGUAAUAUAAAAUAUGCAAGGUGUGAAAUUGGCAAAUUAAGGAAUGAUGAGUAAUGGAAGACUUGACUAUUAAAAAAUUGAAGUCUGCACCGGUGAAAAGUAUGUGAAUGAAUCAGAUAUGAAAAGUGUUAACAUAUCAUGUUGGGUUCUCAAUAUACUGUAUGUGAUAAAGUAUACACAUUUACCUUGUUGACAAUUUGUGUUGGUUGAUAGGUAAACUAUGUUUGCAUAUUAAAUUGACACACAAUUAUUAUGUGAGGUAGGUUAAUUAUUGAAUUUGUAUGAGCUUACUAAGUAUUCUUAAUACUUACACCUAGGUUGCUUUUAUCUUAUAGAUUUUGAACAUUCAGAGCGUGUCAAUAGGACCAGUGAGAAGUUCACACUAUCUACCCAAAGUUGUGGUAGACUCUUGAUUUUGUUUAGUUCGGUCUAAGUGGCAUGUAUAUAGGCGGUUAGUUAUUUUGUAAGCAAAUAUGUUAAAUUUUGAAGGUGAUUACUUUGGACUCUUUUGAUGUAUGUAAAUAAAAUGAACUCAUGUUCUGUUAUGUUUCGCAUUAUAAGUUCCGCUAGACCUAUCACAGUGUGGGGUAUCCGCGGAAUAGCUCGCCAUUUAGGUUUCCGUAGGAAAUUACGAAAUUAAAUGUUCACUUUACUUUACACAAUAUUUGUGUUUGCUGGAUAGUUUGAAGUUUAGCCAUCUACAGUUCAAUACAUAGUUGGACGACCUGCAAGAUCAAUCCGCCUCAUUUUAGCCCACGACAUGGUUCGCCAUGUAAGUAUUAAGCAUAUUGUAAGUUAUACGAGCUUGGUGCCCCAAAAAAAUAAAAAAAUAAUACAUAAUCCGCCUCAUUUUUGUUAACAUGUACUUUUAUCUAUAAAAAUACAUAAAUAUAAUUUAAAAAUAUAUAUAAUUUUCAAAAUAAAAAAUUUAAAAGUUCAUAAAAAACCCCUUUUUUUUUAUCUUUAUAAGUUUUUUUUAUAAUAAUUUUACAAAAAAAAAUUGUGAUUUUAUUGAACAGAAACAACAAACAGAUUCAAAAUUAAAAUUUAAGAAAAGAAAUAAAAAAAAAAGAUAAUUGAAAGUUUCAAUAUUUCAAAUUUUAUCCACAUGAAUCUUUGAAUCUCCCACCAAAAAAAACCUCCACAAUUUUCUUUUACAUUUUCAAGAAUGAUAUAUAUGUUAUGAAUAUCUUAUUAAGUGGAUGUCUAUCAUGACCAAGAUAAAGUUUUGAUUUAUUUUAAAUUCUAAUAGUUAUUAGAAUUAGAUAUUUACUUCUUUUAUACUUCUUAUGCCUAUAAAUAAAGACUCUAAUGAAGCAUUGUAAAUCAUCUCUUUGAUCAAUAAAGUACAUUUUUUAUUGUUUUCAUAUUUUCUUUGUUCUUUAUUUUUUCUAUCUCUCUUUAUUUUAUAACACGUUAUCAGCACGAUGUUUCUCUAUUUUUUUUUAAAUAUUUCGAAGUCGUCCCACAAAUUAAUCUUCAGGAUGUUGAAAGAUUCAAUCUCAGAAUGGAUGCUCGUGAUAAUAGUCAAGCUGAUGACGAUGAUGUUAAAGAUCUUCAGGUAUAUUUUACUAUGUUUUAUUUAUUAUAUCAUAUUUAUUAUAAUUGGAGAAUAAUCAUGACAACAUGAAUGGAUAGAGUCUGAUUUAAAAUCCACGCAUGUUUAUGAUGGUGAUUAUGAAAUAAAAAAAAUCAAUAGAGGCGUUUAGAAGUCUGUCCUACCAAAUUUUUUGCAUCCCCGAAGUGAAUGUAAGCAUAAAGAAAAUAAAAGAUAUACUCAUGGACUACUAAAAGUGGGGACAUAGUAAUAAAUAAGAGAACCAUAAGAGUUUUCAAGAUAACUCUUCAAAGGGUAAAGAUAACUUAUGUUAUCAAUGUGAUAUGAAAUAUUAUUGGCCAUAUACGUGGCGUAUGCCUAACUAUUUUGUUUUUGUUAAUAUUCUUUGAGGAAGGAUAUGCGAAUGUAGUAAUGAAUUCUAUCAUUAUAGAUAGAAAAUAUUUAUCUUAUUUGGUACUGAAACAAACAAAUAUUAUUUCAAUAUUUAAUUGUACAAAAUUAGUUGAAAGCUCCAGAAGAGCUAAUAUAUCAUUAUCUAAAAAAUACAAAAUUUGUGAUGGUUAAUGCAUUACUUUUAAAAGUUAUUUGUAAUGGAUUUCAUAUUGAGAUUGUGAACGAGGAAAAUGUUAUAUUUCAUAUGAACAAAAAAAGGGAUUGGGUUAUUAAUUUAUAAUAUUUGUGAUAUUCUUUUGUCAUCAUCCCUAUUAAAGGGUUGAAAUCAAAAUAUUUAACUAUGAAAGAUCUAUUCAUGAGCAAUAGAAUAUGAUGAUUCUAUCUAAAGUUUAUUAUGGUUGGAUGCACCUAAAGUUGCAAUUUUUUUAAAAAACCUAUGAGUAUAACUCUACAAUAUUCAGAAUAAGUUCUCAAUUAAAAUUACGUGGUAAAAUAUUACUGAUGAGAACUUGUAAGAGAGAAAACUUACGUAUGAAAAGUCAUUGGUUAUGUACUUGUUGUACACCUGGAAAAUAAGAUCCACUCUCAAAGUUUGCUAUUAAUAGAUUUUUUGGCAUUUGAAGAUUUUGGCAUAUUCCCUAAAGCGAAUACUACAUAUAAUUAUUUAGAAAUUAUAUUUAUUGACUUGGUGACAUUAUAGACUUCACAUUGAUUUAGACAUUUCCAGUAGUAAAUGUCAUAAUAAUACUUAUAUGUGGGUACAAAUUAAAAGGAAUGAUAAUAAAAUUAUCAAUUUGUUACAAUUUAGUACAAUUGAAACACAUGUUAAAGUAAACCAGAAGUUUACUAAUACAAAUGCGUUUACUACUUGGCAUGACCAAUUAGACCAUCCUGGAUUAUAUAUGAUGCGAAAAUUAAUUGAGAAUUCAUAUAGACAUUCAUUAAAGAACCAGAAGAUUCUUUAAUUUAAAGAAUUCUCAUUAGUUGCUUGUUCUUAAUGAAAAUUGAUUCUUAAACACUCACUAGCUGAAGUUGAGAUAUAAUGUCUUGCAUUUCUGAAAUGAAUAUGGGCCCAUUCAUCCACCAUGUGGAUAGUUUUGAUAUUAUAUGAUUUUGGUAGAUGAAUGUACAAAAUAAUCACAUGCGUUAUCAACUCGAAACCUAUUGUUUGCGAGAUUGAUUGUUUAAAUGAUUAAUUUUAGAUUAUGCAAUUAAAACAAUUUAUCUUGUUAAUGUUGGUGCAUUUACAUCCCAGGUUUUCAAUGAUUAUUGCAUGUCAAUUGGGAUAAAAGUUGAACAUCCUGUAGCUCAUGUUCACACACAAAAUGAUUUAGCUGAAUUGUUUAUCAAAUGCCUCUAACUAAUAGCUAAAUCAUUACUUAUGAGAACAAGAAUUUCUAUUUCAGCAUGAGAUCAUAUUGAUUUACAUGUUGUACGCAUCAAGCCAAUAAAUUAUAAAUACUCCCCGUUACAAUUGAUUUUUGGUCAAGAGCCAAAUAUUUCCCAUCUUACAAUUUUUGGAUAUGCAGUAUAUGUUCCAACUGCUCCACCACAAUGCACAAAGAUGGGUGAUCAUAAGAGAUUGAUAAUCUAUAUUGAUAUGAGUCUCCUUAUAAUAUUUUUGAGCUAUUAAUUCGAUAUUUAGUUAAGACAUGAGUCAUCAGUUUUCCCAACAUUAGGGGGAGAGAAUAAAAAGUUGGAUUAAUAAAAUACUUGAAAUGAAUUAUCAAUGUCUAAGAUCCUCGUACAAAGCAAUGUGAACCAGAAGUUCAACAGAUGGUUCAUUUUACAAAUCAAUUGACAGAUUCAUUAAAUCUCACAUACCAGUUGAAAAUGCUCAAAUAUGAAUUGAUGUCCUAAUAGGGCAAACUAUUAGUGCAAAAGAAAGUAAUUUGUGCCUGAAGCAUGGAAGAUCGGUCGGUUUUAAAUAUAAAAAUCCUCGUAAAAGUAAAGGAGCAAACAUUCAAGAUGGUCAUAUAGUGGAGGCGAGGGUUCCUGAAGAGACCCAUGACAUAACUAGUUAUAAAACUCAAGAAGAGAUUCAGGUACCUAAAAGUGAAAAUGGAAAUGAUGAAAAUAAAGAGAUCUUAAUAAGUUAUGUCAAUAUGAGAAAAAGAUGGAAUCGAAACAAAAAGUAGUUGUCGACAACAAUUUUACUUAUAAUAUUGCUAUUAAAAUAAUAAAAGAAAAUGAGGAUCUUGAGCCGAAAUCUACUAAGGAAUGUAAAAAUAAAAAAAAUUGGCCAAAAUGGAAAGAUGCAGUUCAAGCAGAACUGAGUUCACUUUCUAAACGUGAAGCUUUUGGACCUGUAGUCCAAACACCUAAAGGUGUAAAAGUCAGUAGGAUAUAAAUGGGUAUUUGUGUGAAAACAAAAUAAAAUUGAUGAAGUCGUAAGAUAUAAAGCUCGCCUUGUAGCACAAGGAUUUUCGCCAAAGGCCCAGCAUUGAUUAUGAAGAGACAUAUUCUCUUGUGGUGGAUGUAAUCACGUUUAGAUAUAUUAUUAGUCUGACAGUACGUGAAAAACUUGACAUGCAUCUAAUGAAUGUUGUUACAUCCUAUUUAUAGGUACACUUGAUAGUGAAAUUUAUAUGAAAAUCCCUGAAGGAUUUAAAAUCCCAGAAGGAUAUAGAGUUUUUUUGAGAAAAUUGCUCAAUCAGAUUAAAGAAAAGUUUAUAUAGAUUAAAACAAUCUGGAAGCAUGUGGUACAAUUAUCUUAGUGAAUACUUGUUGAAAUAAGGUUACAAAAAUAAUCCAAUUUGUCCAUGUGUCUUUAUAAAAAGGGUUGGAUAAGAUUUUGUGAUAAUUGUUAUUUAUGUUGAUGAUCUAAAUAUUAUUGGAACUCCUGAAGAGCUUCAAAAUACAAUAAAUUGUUUAAAGAAAAAAUUUUAAAUGAAAGAUCUUGGAAAAAUAAAGUUUUAUAUUGGCUAAAAAAUCGAGCAUUUAAAAGAUAAAAUUCAUGUUCAUUAAUCAACUUAUAUGGAAAAGAUAUUAAAGAAAUUUUACAUGGAUAAAGCACACCCAUUAAGUGCUCCAAUGGUUGUACGACCGUUAGAUGUGAAUAAAGAUCAAUUUCGUCUUUGCGAGAAUGAUGAAGAGUUUCUUAGUCCUGAAGUACCAUACUUAGUAUCAUAAGGGCAUUGAUGUAUCUUGCAAACAACACAAUACCUGAUAUAGCUUUCGCUGUAAACUUGUUAGCAAGAUUUAGUUCUUCUCCAACAUGUACACAUUGAAAUGGAAUUAACCAUGUAUUUAGAUAUCUCAAAAGGACUAUUGAUAUGGGGUUAUUUUAUUUAAAUAAUUCAAAAUCCCUAUUAGUUGGUUAUGUUGAUGCUAGAUACUUAUUAGAUCUACAUAAAAGUUGAUCUCAAACAGGAUAUUUAUUUACAUGUGGGGGGUACUGCCAUGUCAUGGCAUCAACAACGCAAAUACUACUUGCCGCUCCUUCAAUCAUGUAGAAAUAAUUGCAAUGCAUGAGGCAAGUCGAGAGUGUGUUUGGCUAAGGUUAUUGACCCAACAUAUCCAAAAGAUAUGUAAUUUGCCUUUACAGGAAAAGAUGUCAACUAUCUUAUAUGAAGAUAAUGUAGCAUGUAUAGCUCAAUUGAAGGGUGGUUACAUCAAAGGUGAUAGAACGAAACAUAUUUCACCAAAAUUAUUAUUUACCCAUGAUCUUGAGAAAAUAGGUGAUAUAAAUGUUCAAGAAAUUCGUUCUAGUGAUAAUUUAGCAGAUCUUUUUACUAAGGCAUUGCCAACUUCAACAUUUGAAAGACUACUACACAAGAUUGGAAUGCGUCAACUCAAAAAUGUAAUGUAAUGUUGCCAUCAGGGGGAGUCUAAAAACAAGUUGUACUCUUUUCCUUUAACCAAUGUUUUGUCCUAUUGGUUUCCUGGUAAAGGUUUUUAACGAGGUAGCUUGUAAUAGAAGAUUGUAUACUUUUUUUCCUUCAUUAGGUUUUUUAUCCCAUAGGGUUUUUCCUAAUAAGGUUUUAACGAGGCACAUUAUCUACCAAUGGACAUCCAAGGGGAGUGUUAUGAAUAUCUUAUUAAGUGGAUGUCCAUCAUGAUCAAGAUAAAGUUUUGAUAUACUUUAAAUUCUAAUAGUUAUUAGAAUUAGAUAUGUCUCUGCCUAAGCAUGACCUAGCCCAAAAUAUAGGCUUGAAUUUUUGUCUAAACCCAACCCUAUAUAGAAUAAGGUAAUAUGGAUUUUUGCUCGGCUCAACCCAAAUAAAGCUAUUUCUUUUCCAAAUUGAAAUGUAAUUAUAAAUUUACAAUUAAAUAUUUAUUUUGAUAAUUCAUAAAAAAAUUGUUUAUAGAUACUGGCAUUCCAAAUUAAAAAAAAAUCAUAAAAAUUUAACUAAAAUUACAUAUCAAUUCAUUCAUAUUAACACUCCAAAUUAGAAAAGGAAUGCAUAAAAUUAGAAUAAUAGUAAACUUGCAAUGAAAUAAAAUAAUGAAUAGCAAUAAAGAGUGAAGCUUUUAUUCCUGUUGCCACUAGAACUGUGGUUAGAGUAAGUUCAGUCGAUGCUUUUCUUCUUAGUAAAACAUUAGUCCAUGUUAAGGUAAUUUGUCUUAUUUCCUUGAGAGUUGAUGUAUUGCAUCCUUUUGGAAUCUAGAUUAUAUAAACAACUAACAUAUUAAAUCCAAUACUAUUAUCACAACUAAAAUUCUCAUGUUAGAGUAAUCAAACUUUUUUUUGAAUGCUCAAUUUUUUUGGAUCUCAAGCUUUAAUUAAAUAGACACAAACCAAUUUUUUAAGUUUUGAUAGUAUGCUCCUUGUGUAGCAUUAGGUGUCUGUUUGUUCUAGUGGUUUUGCUGUGAGUUUUGUGUUAUUGUCUUUCAUGGAAUAUGAGUUAGUAGACCUACGGUUAAUGGAGGAGGGGACAGUAGGGAGACGGAGGCUUGGGAGAUUGAAGAGGAAGUGGUGGCGGGAGAACCUUUCUUAGAACUGUGUUUGGUAGGAUGCUUUCUAACAACAGCUACAAUUAAUUUUCAGUCAAUGAGGACCGUGAUAGCAAACAUGUAGCACCCUUUGGGGGGAAUCUCUAUUACGGGGGUGGGGGAGAAACGUUUUGUGUUUCAAUUUUACUGUGAAAUGGAUUUUGACAGGGUGGUUAAGGGUGCUCCAUGGACCUUGAACAAUCACUUACUUGUUUUUCAUCAUCUAAAACAAUGUGAAGACCCCCUGGAAGUGGAUUUGUUAUUCACAGAAUUCUGGAUUCAAAUUCAUAAUUUGCCACCUAGAAUGUUUAUGGUAAUAAUAGCUAAACAGUUUGGAGAUUUCAUUAGAACUUUUGUGGACUAUGAUGUCAAACCUAUUGCGGCAGGGUUAUGCAGAUCAGAGUAAAAAUUGAUGUCCGACAAUCUCUUAAAAGGAAAAUGAAACUUGUUGUGGCAAAAAAAGAGUUUUUCACUACUUUUAAAUAUGAAAGGCUGACAACUUUCUAUUUUUUAUGUGGAAAAUUAGAACAUAGUGAAAAUUGAUGUCCUAAAAGAUUGAUGGAAGGAAGGAAGGAGCUUCCUCUAGAAUGGGAUAUUUCAUUGAAAGCUCCGCCACGACGGGCAGCGGCGGGAAACAGUAUCUGGUUAUAGGAUUCAAUCGGAUUUUAGGGAAGAAAUCAAGGAAUUGCUAGAAAUAAGGGCGAGAAAGAUGGAAUGAAGCUAUUCAAAAUUAAUCUAAUAAGGAACAAUUGAGCAAAUUUGAGCUUAACUUUUAUGAAAAGUCUAAACAAAUUCUGAAUGAUGUAGGCUAUAAAACAGAUUCGAUGGAGGUUGGUUUUUGUGAAGAAGAUCGACCCAUUAUUGUAGGAGACGGGAAAAAGAGACCUAGGCCCAAUAAUGAUUCUUUUGGUCUUCUAAUGAGGAGUUAAGGUGGAAAAUGGGGUAGAGGAAGGCCAAAUUGAUCAAUCGGCUAAACCUGCUGGGCAGGUUAGCCGAGCAUUAUGAAAAUAAUUAGUUGGAACAUCCGUAAGUUAGGGAACUCACGGUCGGUUCGGAGAGUUCAGUAUGUGUUGAAAAAUAUUAUCCCCAAAUUGUCUUCUUUAUGGAGACUAAAGUGGAGAGGACAAAGAUGGAAAAAAAUAAGAAGGAAUUAUGGUUUUGCAAAUGGGUUCGAUGUUUUAGCCCAAGGAUCAAAAGGGGGUCUUUCUUUGGGCUGAUGUAAUUCAGUGAAUGUUACUGUUAUGAGUUUUUCAGAAAAUCACAUUGAUGUUGUUAUUGAUAAUAAUGAUGAUGAUACAAAAUAGAGGCUAACGGAGGAGGUUUGAAUCUUGGAAUUUAUUAGAACAAUUGAGCGUGAAUAACGAUUUGCCUUGGGCUGUUAUAGGGGAUUUUAACGAGAUUUUGUUUAGCUCCGAAAAACAGGGAGUUCAGUUGAGGGAUGAUAGGUAGAGGGAGGCUUUUCGGUCAAUUUUGGAAGAAUGUGAGCUAGUGGAUCUAGGGUUUAGUGGUCAUUGGUAUACGUGGGAAAAAGGGAAAUUUUGAGGCUAAUAAUAUUAGAGAGCGACUUGAUAGGAGGUGGCGAAUCGAGCUUGGUCUGAGAUUUUUUUAUCUUACAGUCUUACUCAUGUUGAUAGUAUGAUUUCGGAUCAUUGCCCCUUACUUUUGGAUAGAGAUUAUCAACUGGCUCAAGUAAUUUUUUUAGGUUGGGAGGUCAUUUUCGGUUUGAAACGGCUUAGCUAUUAGAAGAUUCAUGUUAUGAAAAAGUUAAAACUUUGUGGGAUUCCAAUAAAAAUGUGGCCGUACUUGAAAGGUGAAACAUGGUAGGGGAGGGGCUGAAAAGGUGGACAAGUCGUUUGAAGAAGGAGAGAGGGGCGAUUAUGGAGGAAUUAAUAGAGCGUUUGCAUAAUUUAACUACGGAAGAACCUUCAGAUGAGAUCAUUGAGGUGAUGAUUCAGACCAAAUUAGAGCUGAAUUUAAAGAUUGAUAAGGAAGAGCUAUACUUGGAACAACGGGCAAGAGUGAAUUGGCUAAGGCAUGGGGAUCAAAAUACUAGCUUUUCCCAUAAUUGUGCUUCGUGCAGGCGUCGUAAAAAUAGGAUUGUUGGAUUAAAGGAUGAAGAUGGGUCGAUGAAGGAUAAGGAAGAGGAUUUGAUGCGGAUUGCUACUAACUAUUUUAAAGGAUUGUUUUCUAGUGAGGGGUGUAGGGGAGCUUGAGAAAUUUUCGAAGGGGUGCAGAAAACAAUAACGGGAGAGAUGAACAAUAUGCUGUUGGAAACUUUCCAAGCUGACGAAGUUAGUAGAGUGGUCAUAGAAAUGGGGGGGAACUAAAGCACCGGGUUUCGAUGGCUUCCAAGCGGUGUUCUUUGAAAGAUUUUGGGCAAUUGUAGGUGGGGAUGUCACAAAAUUCUGUCUUGGAGUGCUUAACAGAGAGGUUCAGUUAAAUGAGGUUAAUUUUACAACCAUUGUUUUAAUCCCUAAAGUUUCAUCGCCAGAGUGUAUGACAUCUUUUAGGCCCAUAAAUUUAUGUACGGUGCUUUACAAAAUUAUUGUGAAAGCUAUUGCAAACAGGUUUAAAAUGGUAUUGGAUGGAUGUAUUGAUGAAGCCUAAGGAGCAUUUGUUCCUGGUCGACUUAUUUUUUAUAACAUUCUUGCGGCUUAUGAAAUCCUUCACACAUUUAAAAACAGACGAAAAGGGAAGAAUGGCUUUUUUGCUUUGAAGUUAGACAUGAGUAAAGCAUAUGACUGAGUUGAAUGGGAUUUUAUUACGGGUAUGAUGAGGAAUAUGGGGUUUGAUGAAAAGUGGGUGGAGUUGAUUUACCGCUGUAUCUCUUCAGUCUUUUAUGCAGUUACGGUUAAUGGAGAUUGAGUGAGCAUUUCCAACUAGAACAUGGUCUUAGACAAGAGGAUCCAUUGAGUCCCUAUUUGUUCUUUAUUUGUACGGAAGGGUUUUCAACAAUCCUUAAACUAGCUAAGAGGGAUGGUUUGAUUAAGGGAGCUCGUGUGUGUAGCAGAGGUUCGAGGGUAACCCACUUGUUUUUUUUUUGUGGAUGAUAGCAUAAUCUUUGGCGAUACGAAUGAGGAUGGAUUUAGCCUGGUGAAGGGUUUCAUUGAGGCUUAUGAGAAAGCGUCAGGUCAGAAGAUUAAUUUGGAAAAUUCUUAAAUAUACUUUAGCUCUAAUUGCUUUGUUGAAAUUCGAGAUUUUUUGACAAUUAGUAUGGGUGUCAGAGCAGUUUCGAGUAUGGAAAAGUAUUUGGGAUUGCCUACUAUGGUGGGGAGAAAGAAGAAAGAGACUUUUCAAAACAUCAUUGAUAGGUUGAGGAAAAAGGUGAAUGGGUGGGGGAGUCGAAUGCUUUCUCAAUCGGGUAAAGAAGUUUUUAUCAAAGUUGUGCUACAAGCUAUUCUGAUUUAUGCCAUGUCUUAUUUUCUUCUUCCGAAGUCAUUGUGAGUUGACAUGGAAAAAAUAAUGAACAAAUUUUGGUGGGGUAAGGGAAGUAACCGACGAGGUUUGCACUGGAGCUGUUGGUUUGAUCUAUGUAAAUCUAAAGAGAUGAGUGGAUUAAAUUUUCGUGACAUGGGGAAAUUCAAUACUGCGUUGUUAGCUAAACAAGGAUGGCGGUUAGUUAUAAAUCUGGAUUUAUUGUUAGCUAGAAUUUAUAAAGCUAAAUACUACCCUCGGUCAAGUUUUUGGGAAGCAAGACUUAGGGCUCACCUGUCAUAUACUUGGCAAAGUAUAUGUGCGGCACGAGGAUUGCUGGAGCUCCAGAUGGGCUAGAGCGUUGGUACAAGUGAGAAUAUCUCGAUUUGGCAUGAUCCUUGGCUGCCGCAAUUGGCUGGAAACAAGAUCAAUACACAUCCCAUUAAUGAUUCGAUCCAAACAGUGGAUCAACUAAUCGAUCAAGAAAAUCGAAUAUAGAAAGAAGAGAUAAUUACCAGCAUAUUUUCCACCAAAGAGGUGGAGGUGAUUAAGUGUAUUCUUUUAUCUAAAGCCAUAGGUGCAGACUGUUAAGUGUGACGUAGGGAGAAAACAGGUCAGUAUACUGUACGUAGUGGUUAUAAGGAGCUGAUGAUUCAAGAUGAUAAUACAGAAAUCUCAGAGGAUACCCAGAUAAUUUAUAAAAAAUUAUGGUUCUUCUCUAUACCUAUUAAGAUUAUAACAAAGAAGUGGAGAGAUUUAAGAGAUUUCUUGCCAAUAGGCCAAUCGCUCUUUAAUCAAAAAUUCUGCAAUUUAUCCUCGGUGUAAUGCGGCUUCAGAGUCCUUCUUACAUGUGGUUGUAGAGUGUAAUCAAGUCAAAGAAAUAUGGGCAGGUAUAGGUUUUUUCUGGGCUAGUAAUCUGAAUUUGGAGAAUUUGUGACACUAGUUUUUUCACUUGGUCCAACACAAGGAAGAGAGGAUUUGGGAAAAUGUUGUCAUAAAGAUUUGAGCUAUCUGGUGGGCUCAUAACAAACAAGCGAUGUAAGGUAUUUCAAUAACAAGGCAGAAUACAAUGGCAAAAAUUGUAAGCAUGAUUGAUGAAUUGAGAGUGUUAAAGGUGAAAUUACUUGUUGUAAGGGCGGUGGGCUCAGAUUGCUAGAAACCUCCACAAGAUCCGUGGGUUAAAUUGAAUUUUGAUACAGCCUACAAAAUCCAAACGAAGAGAUCAUGUUCGAGUUUUAUUAUUAGAAAUAAAAGAGGAAAGGUAAUGAGAAGUGGAGUUACUCUUCAUGGCAAUAUCUUAGACGCAUUCUUGGCAGAAGCUACAGUAUGCUAUAAGGGGCUUUUUUUUGCUAAAGAGACGGGGUUUGUCAAAUUGGAGGUUGAAGGGGACUCUAGGACGGUAAUUGAGAAGAUCAACCGAGAAGGGUUUUACCGAGCAGAUUUGGAUUCAGUCAUUACAGAUAUCAAAUCCAUUGGAAGGACUUUUCAUCAAAUUAGAUUCAAACAUGUGAGAAGGGAAGCUAAUUGGGUGGCGCAUUUCAUCGCUAAGGAGGGGCAUAGCAGAUCGAAACAUACCUUUUUGAUGGAGGACAAUUUGAAGGCUGUGAGAGAGAUGGUGGUUGCAGAGGAGUUGAGAAAUGCUCCCAAACGAAUGACUGACUUGGUUUGGGAUCAGUCGGACUGGCUUGAAGCUUUCAUUGGAGACCAUGCUUCAGUCAUCGGAGAAGUUUCGAUGGUGUGCUGGAGUUUUUCUAUUUUUCUACCGGGUUUCCUUUUAUUUUCUUUGUUGUUUUUCAGAUGUUUUUUUAUUUGAUUCAAAUUGUUUAAUUUUUUUAUUUGGUUUUGGUUUUAUGGAAAUCACGGUUUUACCCUUUAAAAAAAUUCUCAUGUUAGGACAUACGAAAGUCGGUUCAAAAAAUAAGAGGAUUUGAAUAAAAUACAAGGCCUAGAAAAUAGGUUUAAGUAAAAUUUAAGGUCCGUUUUCUAUAUGGGCCAGGCCUUAGGCAAUUUUUUUUGGCUCAAGCCUGACUCGACCCGAAUAUUAUGUUAUAAAGCAACACUAUAUUAAUUAUAUAUGAUAAGUAAUAAUUAUAUAUUUAUGUUUAAAUUAAAUCACUGAUCCAAUAACAAUUAAACUCAUUGCCCAAGACCUAAAAAAAACUUACCCAACUAAAUAACCCAACCCAAAAUAUAAAAUUUUGUAUUUAAUACAAUAAAAUAUUUAAUUGUGAUUUUUAUUAUAAUAAAACAUUUAUUAUAUUCAUGGUAGUGUUUUUUUUAAUAAAAAUACUUUUUAAUAUGUUAGAAAACUUUUAUUUUAGCUUUUAUUUAGUGCAUUUAGUGUAUUAUAUUUUUUAAAAAUUUUAGUUUUAAAUAAAAAUUAAUCUGAAAAAUCAAAUAUAGGUGGGCCUUGCCAGACACGGGGUCACUUUUCUUAAAUCAGGUUGGGCUUAGACAAAGAAGUAAGCCCAUUUUUUGAGUCGGACCGAGCCCAGGCUUAAAAUUUUUUCUAAAUAUCUUAUAUAGGCUCGACCUGAAUACAGCCCAGCCCGACCCAUGAAAACCUCUAACCAAAACUUAAGAUAAAACAUUAACUUUAUAUAUUAAAUCCAACACAAAUAGGGAUGGAUUUGGGCUUGGGUUUUAUUUUUUAAGGAUGGGUUUGUACUUUGAGUUAAAUAAUAUUUGGAUUUGGGUUAGUUUUAUAUAUUAAAAUUUUAUAGCUACAAAUAUAUAUUUAAAAAUAUUUAGAUAUUUGGAUUGGGCUAUAAAAUUUUUUACCUAAGGUUCUACUCGAAUAGAAAAAUAAGUUUACACUUUUGCCCAAGCCUAUUUUCGGGCUUUAUCUACUUGUUCAAGUCCUACUAUAUUUCGAAUGGGCUUUUGGGUUCAGGCUGAUAGCCCGACCUUUGAACAACUCUAAACCAUACCAAAAAAUAAUUAACAAAUUUAUGGUGUAUAUAGUUAUAUAUGGUAUGUAUAUAGAAAAUAUAAAUUUUGAUUAGGUCAGUUUUUAAUUUUCAGCACUUAAUUUUUUAGUUUAUAUUUAGUAGGUCAAAAUAUAUGAAAAUUAUCUCUUUUCAAUAAAAAAUUAAAUUAUUUAAAUAAGAUUGGCAAAAUAACAUAUUAUUAUAUUUUUGAAAAAUAUGUUCUAAAAUUAAAAUAUUAUUAAUUUAUAAAAAGUAGUUUCUUAAACUUAAAUCAUGUAUGGGUAUGUUUGAAAGCCAUAAGGUGUUGGAUUCUAAUGUAAUCGAUUGUAAUUAUACAAUAUAUGACUUUGUGCAAUUACUUCAACUCUCACCCUCCCCUAAACAUAGCAUAAUUAAAGUGCUCCAAUUUAGUAUCAUACAAAGUUGGAAAUUUUUAAUCGAAAACAUUACAACAUCAAUGAUUAGAUUACAAUUUUCAAAUGAAAAUAUAAAAUUUAUAUGACUUGUAAUGUAUUCAAAGUUGAAAAAAUGUUAGCAGUGGGAUUUGAACCCACAUUCUUUAUGAGAAAAUUAAAACUUGAGUUUUAACACUUCAAACCACUUAGCCAAGUACAAUUUCUAUCAUGGUAUAUGUGACAAGAACCCUAUCAAGAUAUUCCAAGAAAAUGUGAGAAUGAAGCCAACCAUGACUAGUAUUAUCAGUAUGACCCGAAUUACUAUUAUCAACAACAUAUGAGACAAGGAUAACCAUACUAUGCUACUCAUGUGACGCUAAUUAAGGCUACUAUGAUGGCUACUUGUAUAACUAUACACCUAUUAGUAGUAUUAUCAGCAAAACCACAUGCAUCCACAACCUUAGUACUAUUAGAAUUGCUUGAAUCAACAGGGCCCCAAGUGAGAAGUCAUCCACCACCACCAUUAUAGCACCCAAUUACAAUCCAACUAUGCGAUACUUGUAUAGCUAUACCACCUCAUAAAUAUGCCCCAAUUCUAAGAUAGUUCUAUUGUAUGAUUUUUUUACCUUGCAACCUUUUAGUGAAGCUUGGUUUGCUCUUUUGGCUCCACUAGGACAGUGGCGGAGGCAAGGGGGUUGGUAGGGGCCCUAGUCCCAUUAAAAUAGAAAAUUUUUCAUUUAAACUCCUUAUAAUUUAUCAAAUUUUAAAUUAGUAAUGGUAAAAUUGUACUUUGGCCCCCCCAAAAAUAAUAAAAAUUUGAUUGAAUCCUUUAAAAAUUAUAAAGAUAUAAACUAUUAAAAUGGUGAAAUUACAUUUUUACUAUCGUAAAAACAUACAAUUUAAUUCCGCCCCCAAAAAAUUUUUUUGGCUUCGCCACUACAGUGGGAGUUAUCUGUUAGUGAGGAACCUAACUAUGGGUCUCUUCAUGCAUCUUCAGUGUUGAUGUUGAAGGCUUGUUGCUAGGCUGUGUUCCUUGUAUUCAAGCAAUAUGUUUCCUCUUGUUGUAAUUUAAUGGAUGAAGCGAGCUUGGAGAGUGAAUUUGCCUUUGUGUUUUUAGACCUAGUGAUUUGUUCUAAUUUGGCUUUCUCUAACUUCACCAACAUUCUUGUUACUUGCUAAGCAAUUUGAUUAGUAUCAAUUUUCAAAUAAUGCAUAUUUAUGAGGCAUAAUCAAAUAAUUCACCUGACUUAUCACAAUACUGUGAUAUUUGUUGAAGGUAGGAUCUCUAACUUCAUAGUUGCCUCAAAUCUGCUUGGCAACCAAUUGUGAAUCUGUAAAAUCUAAAGAGCCUUGACCCCUAACUAUUAUGCUAGUUCCAGACUCGCUACUAAGGCCUCUUAUUCAAUUGUAUUUUUAGAAACAUUAAAUGCGAAUGUCACUCAUACUACCACACAUUCUUCUCUAGGACAAUUAGGAGUAAUCUUGUGUCAUGGGCCAUAGAUCAAAGCCUGUGACUAAUGUACAAAAAAGCAUCCCACAGAGGUCAAUUGGUUAAAUCAGACUUAUUUGACCCACUUGAACAGGCUUGAUUCGUGGAAUAUGUGGAGAAGCCCAUCUACUUGAAGCAUUGAUGGCUAAGUGAAGCACUUAAUGAAAAUUGGGGCUACCAUGGUAAAUAUGGAAACUUAUCUUAGAAUAUUUGUAAUAUUAUAAUAUUUGAUUUUGUAAUAUUAGAGGAUUGUGUAAAUCCUUUAAGAAUCUCAAUUGUAGAUAGACUUUAAUCUUGAACAUCGAUGUAAAGUAAACUAUACCGUUAAAUCUAGGGGAGCUCAACUAUAAAUAGAGGUCUUUCCCCUCAUUUGUAAUCACUCAGUUGUAAUCUUUUAUAGUAAUUGAAUAAUAUUGAUUACUCAAACACUUUGUGAGUGUUUCUUUCUUUUGGUUUUUCUGUUCUCUCGUUGCUUUUUUGUCUUUGAGUUGCUUCCACUUUAUUUUCGGAGCCUCAGAGAAUUUCUGUCGAGAAUUCUCAUUUUGUGAGGGUUAGGUUACUUAGACGGAUUUGAACCCAAUAAAUCGCCUAAGUUCACACGGAUUGCGAGACUAAAGUUCUAGUUUUGUGAAACUUACACCAGAUCCACUCUUCCCAGCUAAGCCAACUACAAACAACAUCCACAUCUCUAUUGAGGCAAGUUCUGGUUUAGUGUGGGUUAGUUGUGCUUUGAAUUGAUAGCAUUCUCUGUUACUUUUGCUUGGUUGGGUUAUAUUUCUUAAAAAAAAAAGGGUGAUUUAAGUGACAAAACAUUAUUCUAUAAAAUCUGCCAAAGCUUGCACUUUAACUGUCUUCCUUGGCAAGAAUUUUAACACAAAGUCAAACAAUUCUAUACUCCACUUAACCAUUCUUCUUGAGGAAUCUACCUUAUUCAAGAUAACUUUGAGGGGUAGAUCUGACCAUGACUGUUGAAAUUGAACCAGACUGACUUGUUGAACUGGUUAGAUCUGAAAUCAACAAGUUCAGUGGUUCAACCACCCCCAUUAAACCAAAAAGUUUUCAAACUAUUAAAAAUUAAUGAAAGUGGUCGGAAUGAGUGAAAGAUCUAUUUAAUCGGGUUUAUCAAGCUUUUUCUCCCUCUAUCAUUGUUAUGACUGUUUGCUUCAUUAGGCUCAAAAAAUUGGUUGUUGUGGCUCUUAUUUGCCUCCUUAAACUAAAAAAAAAAACUGUUUGUUUCAUCUUCCUUAGAUUGAUCUACAAACUAUUUGAUUCAUCUUGUGAUUCUCAAUUCUCAAGUUUAAAGUUUAAAGUUUGAAAAGUAGAGAAGAAUGUGAGAAAAAAAUGAAAAAAAAAAGAGACAAUAAGUAAAAUAUAAAAUGGUAAAUGAAAAAAAAAAGAGACAAUAAGUAAAAUAUAAAAUAGUAUUAUAAAAAAUAAAUUUAUGGAUGAGAAGGUGAGUAGUUGGAAAUAGAAAUCAUUUAUGGCAAGGGGAGUUGAGAAACAACUAGUAAGUGGGUUUUACUAAAGGAAUAAAUAGUGGGUUUUAAUGGAUAGGUUUCAAGGUGAAUAGAAUAGAUUUUUUUAGUUAUUUAUUUGUAAAUCAGUUGGAUUGGUGGUCGAAUCGAUUAGAUUAGGAACCGAUGGUUUGACUAGUUUGACAAUCAAUUUAGUUCGAAAACCUGAGAUUUGACAGCACUAAUAUGGGGUGGUGAGCUUGAAAAUAUUGAUAGAGUUUUCUAGCUGCUACUACCUAAGUGAAAACUACUUUAUUUACCUUUGGGUAGUUCAACUCACCAUUCUAUAAUUCUUUGCUAGCAUGCUAGACAAGAUUUUGGCGUACUGUGACUUCUUUUACUAGGAUUGAUGGCACUGUCUCAUUAGAUGUCGCCAAAUAUAAAUGUAGUUGAUCUCCUAAGCUAGGUGAAGUAAGUAAAUGGAAGAUCAAAUACUACUUUAAUUGUUCAAAAUUUUUAUGAAAAUCUUUCAACCAUCUAAAAGGUGCCUUAAGGGCCUUUAUUAGAAGGGAGGGCUUAUAUUUGCCAUCUUCGGAACAUAUCUGUAUAGUGCCACAAUUUUGCUUCUUUUGUGUUUUUUGGAGUUGAAGAGUCUUGAAUGGCUCUAUUCUUCUCAAGAUUCACCUCCAUAUCUUUAUAAAAAAUCAUAAAUAAAAAAUUUGCCCCACUUCUAUGCCAAAAGCACAUUUAGUGGGAUUCUACUUUAUGUUGUAAGUUCUUGAUAUAAUAAACACUUGCUACAAAUAUCUUACAUGCUGCUCCAUGGUCAUGCUUUUUACCAAUAUAUCGUUAAUGUAUACUUCUACACUUCGUCCAAUCUGAUGCUUGAAUAACUUGUUGACUAAACGUUGGUAAGUCACGUUAGCAUUUUCCAAUCCAAAUGACAUGACUUUAUACUUGAAACCUAUCCUCUAUCAUUAUCUGGUCAUAGCCUAAAAAAACAUCCAUGAAGUUUUAGAUCAAGUAGUAGCAUAAAUGCCUACAAAUGCCAUAUAAGGGCAUGGGUUCAACCAUACAAAGCUUAAAUGGGCACAAUUAUGUGGUAGGGGAUUGUACGCCACGCAUGAUUCGAUCUAACAAGGUGCCCUUACUCCGUGAACCCCAAACAGCUCUUGACAGAGUCAAGAGGAAAAACCUCGACUAGGACAAUAUCGAACGUGUUGAGGGGUUUGCUAGCUCUGAGCAAAUGACACUUUAAAGACUUUUCCAGAAAGAAUUAAAAAUUCCUCAACAAGAUAUUAUCUUUAUAUUAAUGUUAAAUUCACAAUUUUUAAAUAUACUAUAAUUUGUGCAUAAAAAACCCUAAUUCCUGAACUUUCUUAAACCAAAUCUCAAUCUUAUUGGCUGUGGCAUGGUGGCAUCGACCUCUGAGUUGGUCGCUGGUUACGGCUUCAUCAAUAUUUUUUUAUUUUUCUUUUAUUUCUAGUUUUAAGCCACUCUAUUUUCUUUGAGAACUGUAGUGAUUCUUGUUUUAGUCCAUACUAUUGUGGUUUUUUUUUUGUCCACUCUAUUUAAAAAAAAAUGUUAUGGUUCUUGUUCACUUUAUUUUAUUUGAAAAUAGAGGUAUUUUUAGUUUUUAGUUUCUAUUUGUGUUUUAACGUAUAUAUGAGAUUUGUCAAGGUAAGGGUGCCACUAGAUCUAUUGGGAUCAAUUCUCAGAUGGCCUUAUGAUGAUAGAGCAUUGUGUUGUCUUUGCAAAAUUGGAUUCUAAGAUGAUGAGGAGGAAAAGGAUAGCCAUAUGAGACUUAGUCUUUUGUCCAUCACUGAUGUGGUGGGUCUCUUGGUAGAGGUUUCUUGAUUUAUCGGAGUUGUCAUCAGAUUGACUUGAUAACGGCAAGUUAUGAUGCAAUUGUCAAUGGUUUGAUAAAGGUGAUGCAUCUCUGGUUUGUUUCUAAAUUAUUUCAAUGUUGUGGUUAGUGUUUGUUUGCCUUUUUUCGCUUUUGAGAUUAUUCUAUAGACGUGACAUUAGUGCAUCAAUUUGUAACGUCUUAGUUAUCAUUUGUACCAUGUAUCAUGUCUUUUUACCUUCGUACCAAUGUUAAAUUCACAAUUUUUUAAACAUAAUAUAAUUCGAGCAUAAAAAAAAACCCUAAUUGCUGAACCUUGUCAAACCAAAUCUUGGCCUUAUUGGUAGUGGCACAGAGGCACUGACCUCCAAGAUGGUUGUUGUUUGCAGCUUCUUCAACAAUAUUCUUUGAUUUUUAGUUUCAAUCCACUUUGUUUUCUCUCCUGUUUAAGUCCACACUAUUUUUUCUUUUUAUUUUAUUUGAAAGCAGUGGUGGUUUUAGUUUUAGUUUUUGCUUUUUAGUUUCUGUGUGUUCGUGUGUAUAUGUAUAUGAGAUUUGUGAAGUUAAGGGUGUUGUUAGAUUUAAAGGGAAUCGUUUUUGGAAGGUAUUAUGAUGAUCGAGCACUGUGGUGAUGUUCGUAAAAUUAGACUCUAAGAUGAGGAUGAGGAGAAUAGACCAUCUAAGACUUAGUCUUUUGUGCAUCACUAAUGAGGCGAGUCUAUUGGCGAUGGUUUCUUAAUUGUAUAGAGUUCGUCAUCAGGUUGGUUUGAUGAUGACAGGUUAGGAUACAAUUUUUUGUAGUUUUUAUAUUUUUAUUAUUGAUAAUUCCUAUUAAUUACAAAACUUUCUUGAAGAAAAUGGUGCAUGAGACCGUGUCCCCACUCUAGGCUAACAAUCUUAAUCAAAAUUGUUGGUUUAUCCUCUAAAAGUCUUAUCAGACUUUAUAGAUCCAACCGAUGAAUAACAAGAGUACUGAACACACUCAACAGCAUAAAUCCAUAGAGAGUCAUACCAAACACUUACCAUUGGAAAUAUUAGUCGAUAAAUCGUGUGUGUUUUUCUGAGACAACAAAGAUGUUUCUUGUCGGUAAUUUGUCCAAUUGAUUCUCCAAUUUUCUCUCCUAAUUCCUUUUGCUUCUCAUCUUACUUCAGGACAAAAAAGAAAUAAGGCCAAAAAUUCAACACUGUUCAUAUAUAUGGCAUAUACCAAGUCCAUGGACCGACCCUCAAGAAACGGCUCCUACGAGGCUGAUGGCCCACGCCAUUACCGCAUUAACCGCACCCCAACAACAAAGUUUUUCCCUUUGUCUUUUCCCUGUACUUAACUACCAUAACUACUUUCUAUAUAUAAGUACAUUGCAAAUCUAACCCGAGGGUGCUCAUUAAGAAAGAUGGCCACUGGAGCUGCUGAUGGAUUUUUCCGGUCACUGCUCUACGAAGGGUGCAUCUCUGACUGCGACAUCAACAUCGAGAGGCGACCGUACCACCGGAACUGCCGUUGUGCUCUCCACGACAAGUCGUUGCGCAGGAACUGUUCACGUCCAUUCCCUAAGAGCAAGAAUGUGUCUUAUCCUAUGAGGAGAUCAUGGAGUGAGGGAUGCUUGGCCAUGGUAUCAGCUACGGGUUAUUCUUCCCCGUCGCCUUCGCCGUCUUUGGCCGGUGUUCACGGUGCUGGGAAGCAGCAACUGGAAUCGUAUAAAGAAGAGGAGGAAGAUAAAUAAUCGAAAAUGGAAGGAAACGAAUAAAUUUUUGGCCUUCUUUUGUGAUGUUUGGGAUCAUGUUUUAGAAUAAAUACUGAUCAUAGGGUGAGUUAAAGGAGAUCCUUUUGAUUAAUUUUACAAAAGGUUUUUUAAUUGAUGCAUUUUUCUUCUUGAUAGUUCACCUUGUAAAUCUCUUUGUGGCAAAAAAAGCAUAUGGCCUAAAUCAUUUGUCCUUGUAAACAUCUAGUGAAUUUUUCUUUUUCUUUUUUCAAUUUUAUUUUCAAACUAACUUUGUUGAAUGUAUAUUUUUAGAAUUAUGGCUUAAAUAUACUAAAAUCUUUUUUUUUUAAAUUUAUAUUUGAUGAACUAUAUGAAAUAUUAUUAUUUAAAAUGUACCUACCAAACUUGUUCCUAAGUGGGCUCUUUUGGAAACACACAAUCUUUUGCCACUAUACAAAGAAAUAAUAAUAUCUGAAAAAAUUAUUUUAUAGAUAUUUUUUCACUACAUUAUUGAUGGUUGUGUCAAAUUAAAAGAGGGCAUUUAUAUAUAUAUUUUAUAUUAUAUGUAUAUUUGAGCUAAAGUCUUAAAUAAAAGAUAAUAUAUAUUUUUAAUUAAACGGGAUUAUAAAUAAUGUGAUGAAAAUGAUCCAUAAAAUUAAAAUAUAAUAAUAUUAUUAUGGAGAUUACUAUGACAAAGAAUACCAAUUUUUAAUCUUAUUCAUCAGUGGUUGCUUAGUCCAAUGCACUUUGUUUUGCCACUUGAUACUAUGUUUAUAUGACAAAUAAAUUAAAAGACCUAAAAUAAAUAAAUAAAUCUUACUUUGACGGUGUUCCUUAUGUUAAUAAUGAAAAGAAGACAAAAAAUAGAACAUGAAAACGUCAACAUAGAGGUGAAGAAGGGUAGUCGGUGAGCACAUGAGUGAGUAGAGUGUCCAAGACAGCAUUAAACCUGACCCAUUAUUAUUUAUUUAUUUUAUUUUGAUUUCUUCUUUACAUGAAAACAUGGGUAACAUCGCUCCAAAAAUGCAGGCCAUACUAUUGGACCUUGGUGCGAAUACAAACUACAUUGUCCUUUUUAAAGUAAAAAAUUGAGAAUAAAGAAUAUUAAAUUCUACAUAAAUUGAAAGAUAUUGAUGGUUGUGACAAUUGAGUAAGAUAUAGUAUGGGAGAACAAAGAAAAUAUUAAAAUUUGAAAAGUGAAAUUAAUAAUUUAUGUAUGCAUACUAUGUUUAAUGAACAAUGACAUUUUAAAAGAUAUAUGUAAUAAGCCCAAUUUACCCGGAUCCUUACAAAACAAAAUAAACAGUCCCAUGUUACCCAAACAAUAACCGAACCAGCCCAAAACUAAACCCUAGACCCAGCAACUAGUAGCCCAACACAGCAAAACUAAAAAAAUCAAAAGAAAAACCUAGCUGCAGCAAGCCCUCGCCUCCAGCAAGUGUCCGGCCGCCGCAAGACUCGGAGACGGCCCUCUCCACGUGCACCGUUUGCUCCACUCUUACCUGCAAAUACGGACUCAAAGAGUCCAGAGGAGAAAAACAAGCAAAACAAUUUCAUUUUUUGUUUUUUUU